rnacentral:lncRNA from 1 species
AUUUUAUCAAGUAUCAUAGUAGUUAGAAGAAUUAUUCAUAGUGAACUAGAGAGGGAAAUUGGUGAGAUAUAAUUGAGGAAAUCAAAAAAAGUUACACCAGGAAGUAAGCAAUGUAAGAGGCUGAAUCUUUGGCCCCUCCCCUCUCCACUUCCUGUCCUUCCUUCACCAAUCAACUAAUGGAGGGUUUUAUUCACAGAUCACAGUGAGAAGAGAGAAAAAAGAUGUCACCUGCUCCCAACACUAUGAGAAAGAGCCACUGCCCACUACCUCCCAGAGAGUAAUUGUCAACUCUCUCAGAGUAACAGCCACCCCAGAGAGUAACUGCCACUCCCAGAGACCAACCGCCACAGAAAAAAAAAAAAACAAAACUAUUAUACUGUCAACAUUUGAAACUGAUAUUGUCUCAUAUGAACUUUAAACUCCAAUUUUUUUCUCAAGCCAGCUUCUCUACUUCUUAUCUCUAAACUAAUAUAAUAAAACUUAAUUUCUAAUAUCA